rnacentral:rRNA from 1 species
GAAGCAUGAUCGCAAGGACAUGUGGAGCGCUUAGAAGUGAGAAUGCCGGUGUGAGUAGCGAAAGACGGGUGAGAAUCCCGUCCACCGAUUGACUAAGGUUUCCAGAGGAAGGCUCGUCCGCUCUGGGUUAGUCGGGUCCUAAGCUGAGGCCGACAGGCGUAGGCGAUGGAUAACAGGUUGAUAUUCCUGUACCACCUAGUAUCGUUUUAAUCGAUGGGGGGACGCAGUAGGAUAGGCGAAGCGUGCUGUUGGAGUGCACGUCCAAGCAGUAAGGCUGAGUGUUAGGCAAAUCCGGCACUCAUAAGGCUGAGCUGUGAUGGGGAGAGGAAAUUGUUUCCUCGAGUCGUUGAUUUCACACUGCCGAGAAAAGCCUCUAGAUAGAUAACAGGUGCCCGUACCGCAAACCGACACAGGUAGUCAAGAUGAGAAUUCUAAGGUGAGCGAGCGAACUCUCGUUAAGGAACUCGGCAAAAUGACCCCGUAACUUCGGGAGAAGGGGUGCUCUUUAGGGUUCACGCCCAGAAGAGCCGCAGUGAAUAGGCCCAAGCGACUGUUUAUCAAAAACACAGGUCUCUGCUAAACCGUAAGGUGAUGUAUAGGGGCUGACGCCUGCCCGGUGCUGGAAGGUUAAGAGGAGUGGUUAGCUUCUGCGAAGCUACGAAUCGAAGCCCCAGUAAACGGCGGCCGUAACUAUAACGGUCCUAAGGUAGCGAAAUUCCUUGUCGGGUAAGUUCCGACCCGCACGAAAGGCGUAACGAUUUGGGCACUGUCUCAACGAGAGACUCGGUGAAAUCAUAGUACCUGUGAAGAUGCAGGUUACCCGCGACAGGACGGAAAGACCCCGUGGAGCUUUACUGUAGCCUGAUAUUGAAAUUCGGCACAGCUUGUACAGGAUAGGUAGGAGCCUUUGAAACGUGAGCGCUAGCUUACGUGGAGGCGUUGGUGGGAUACUACCCUAGCUGUGUUGGCUUUCUAACCCGCACCACUUAUCGUGGUGGGAGACAGUGUCAGGCGGGCAGUUUGACUGGGGCGGUCGCCUCCUAAAAGGUAACGGAGGCGCUCAAAGGUUCCCUCAGAAUGGUUGGAAAUCAUUCAUAGAGUGUAAAGGCAUAAGGGAGCUUGACUGCGAGACCUACAAGUCGAGCAGGGUCGAAAGACGGACUUAGUGAUCCGGUGGUUCCGCAUGGAAGGGCCAUCGCUCAACGGAUAAAAGCUACCCCGGGGAUAACAGGCUUAUCUCCCCCAAGAGUUCACAUCGACGGGGAGGUUUGGCACCUCGAUGUCGGCUCAUCGCAUCCUGGGGCUGUAGUCGGUCCCAAGGGUUGGGCUGUUCGCCCAUUAAAGCGGUACGCGAGCUGGGUUCAGAACGUCGUGAGACAGUUCGGUCCCUAUCCGUCGUGGGCGUAGGAAAUUUGAGAGGAGCUGUCCUUAGUACGAGAGGACCGGGAUGGACAUACCUCUGGUGUACCAGUUGUCGUGCCAACGGCAUAGCUGGGUAGCUAUGUAUGGACGGGAUAAGUGCUGAAAGCAUCUAAGCAUGAAGCCCCCCUCAAGAUGAGAUUUCCCAACUUCGGUUAUAAGAUCCCUCGAAGAUGACGAGGUUAAUAGGUUCGAGGUGGAAGCGUGGUGACACGUGGAGCUGACGAAUACUAAUCGAUCGAAGACUUAAUCAAUUUUUUAAA